rnacentral:miRNA from 1 species
UAAAGAAAGAAAGAAAGAAAGAAAGAAAAAAGUGGGGAAUGCGGCGGUGGGACUGUUGACGUUAAAUGACAAAACAGCACAUUUUUGCCCCGUUUUCUUUUUUUUCUUUCUUUUUUA